GACAGCGACGUCCCCGUGGGGUGGCUCAGGUCUGGGAGUGUCUGGGCCUGGAGUCCAGGUAGGCCAUGGGGCUCGGCUCUCCCACGGAAGCCAACAGCCAAAGAGUGACCUUCCCAGCGACUCCGCCCCCGCUGAGGUGUCACUAAUAUGAGCUGUCACAGCAGCCAGGAAAGAGGUGACAGAGGAAAGAAUGGCCUCUGCCCUCCGCGUCCCUUCAUAUUUAUCCACAUGAGUGCUUAGUGACGGAUUCCCUGCCUCAGCAAUCCAAACGUGCAGCUACCGGUGACAUGUUUUAAUGUCAACGCCAUCAUUAGGACCUCCAGCAGAGGGGCUGCAGACCGGGGACUUCUUGGGACCCCAGAGUGCCCCUUGGCCUCUGUCCUCGCCACCUGCCCUCCACAGGAGCCAAAUAAACAACGAGCCGAUCCUCUCAUCCCUGGGACAACUUAGCAAAGUCAGCAGGACUUCAGCCCCAACGUCUGGGGUGAAGUCACCCGCCCAAAGACAGAGAUAACAUACAGAGCAGGUGGCACCGCGAGAACUCAUCUUCCUUCCUGGUCUCUACCCCGUCUUCGUGGAGGCCAGAGGCUUCCUAGAUGGCCGAGAACCGCUGACCAGCGGAGAAGUGGGGCUCCUGACUACCCCCAAGUCACAAAGCCAGCCUCUAUCACCCAGGGGGGACCCUCUGAGCAGGGGCAGGAAGGGACACUGCCUCCCCCAAACGCUGAAGAAAUGUGUCUGUCCGGAUCCUGUUGGGAAAUUCUGGGGCAGGGGAGGAGGGAACAGCCUGGCCCCGUCCUGGGUACCUUGAGCAAGCCGGGCCGUUGCUCCAUCCACCAAGCAGGGAGCCGAUACCCCAGGGUGGGGGUGUUGCACCACAUUCUUAGAAAGCUGCCUCUGUCCGGGCAUCUCCACGUGGGGCCCGAGCUGGUUUUGUUUAAUUAAAAUCUUUUUCACUUCCAAGUUUCUGAGGGCCAGUGGGGAGAGAAGCAAGAUGGUGAAAUGAUCAGGAUUAGCCAACUUUCCCUAAAUACUUACCCUAUGCCAUACAUCGGGCUGUUUCUCCUUCCUGAACGCCGUCCUUGGAAUCCACCCGUGGACCCUCUGCAGGAGAUAUUCUGCUUCCCCCAUUUGCCCAUAAAGAAAACUCAGGUCCAGAGAGGUCAAGAAACUUGCCCACGGACACACAGCUUAUAACAGUGGAGCCGCAAUUUGGAAUCACACUGCAUGACUACAGGUCUCUGGGACUUCUUCCCAUGAGUGCAAAGAACCCAGGUUUUUUUGAGGGGC
rnacentral:lncRNA from 1 species